rnacentral:rRNA from 1 species
CGCAGCCGCGGUAAUUCCAGCUCCAAUAGCGUAUAUUAAAGUUGUUGCAGUUAAAAAGCUCGUAGUUGAAUUUCGGGGUCAGUAGGUUGGUCAUGCCACUGGUAUGUACUGGCCUCACUGAUUCCUCCUUCCUGAUGAGCCGUAAUGCCAUUAAUUUGGUGUUGCGAGGAAUCUGGACUGUUACUUUGAAAAAUUAGAGUGUUUAAAGCAGGCUAACGCUUGAAUACAUUAGCAUGGAAUAAUGAAAUAGGACGUUCGAUCUUAUUUUGUUGGUUUCUAAGAUUGACGUAAUGAUUAAUAGGGAUAGUUGGGGGCAUUAGUAUUCAAUUGUCAGAGGUGAAAUUCUUGGAUUUAUUGAAGACUAACUACUGCGAAAGCAUUUGCCAAGGAUGUUUUCAUUAAUCAAGAACGAAAGUUAGGGGACCGAAGACGAUCAGAUACCGUCGUAGUCUUAACCAUAAACUAUGCCGACUAGGGAUCGGAUGAUGUUAAUUUUUAAUGUACUCA